GAGUUUGAUCCUGGCUCAGGACGAACGCUGGCGGCGUGCCUAACACAUGCAAGUCGAACGGAGAUACGCGCUGAAUGGAUGGAGCUUGCUUUUGAAAUUCUUGUGUAUCUUAGUGGCGGACGGGUGAGUAACGCGUGAGCAACCUGCCUUUCAGAGGGGGAUAACGUUUGGAAACGAACGCUAAUACCGCAUGAGACCACAGUACUGCAUAGUACAGUGGCCAAAGGAGCAAUCCGCUGAAAGAUGGGCUCGCGUCCGAUUAGAUAGUUGGCGGGGUAACGGCCCACCAAGUCGACGAUCGGUAGCCGGACUGAGAGGUUGAACGGCCACAUUGGGACUGAGACACGGCCCAGACUCCUACGGGAGGCAGCAGUGAGGGAUAUUGGUCAAUGGGGGAAACCCUGAACCAGCAACGCCGCGUGAGGGAAGACGGUUUUCGGAUUGUAAACCUCUGUCCUCUGUGAAGAUAAUGACGGUAGCAGAGGAGGAAGCUCCGGCUAACUACGUGCCAGCAGCCG
rnacentral:rRNA from 1 species